UUAAUUACUAGAGUUUGAUCCUGGCUCAGGACGAACGCUGGCGGUGCAUCUAAGGCAUGCAAGUCGAACGGUACCGAUUAGCUUCGGCUUAUCGGAAGAGUGGCAGACGGCUGAGUAACGCGUAAGUGACCUGCCCCGAAGAGGGGGAUAAUCCGGAGAAAUCCGGCCUAAUACCCCGUACGCUCCGAUGGUUACGGUCAUCAGAGGAAAGGUUUUCGCUUCGGCGGACUCCGCUUUGGGAGGGGCUUGCGUCCUAUCAGGUAGUUGGUGGGGUAACGGCCUACCAAGCCGAACACGGGUAACCGGUGUGAGAGCAUGAUCGGUCAGAGGGGGACUGAGACACGGCCCCCACUCCUACGGGAGGCAGCAGCUGGGAAUCUUGCGCAAUGGGCGAAAGCCUGACGCAGUGACACCGCGUGGGGGAAGAAGGCUUUAGGGUCGUAAACCCCUUUUCUUGGGGAAGAGUAAGGACGGUACCCAAGGAAUAAGCAUCGGCUAACUACGUGCCAGCAGCCGCGGUAAUACGUAGGAUGCGAGCGUUGUCCGGAUUUACUGGGCGUAAAGGGCGAGUAGGCGGCUUGUCAAGUCUCAUGUGAAAUCUCCCGGCUUAACCGGGAGGGGUCAUGGGAAACUGGCAAGCUUGAGGUCAGCAGAGGAAAGUGGAAUUCCCGGAGUAGCGGUGAAAUGCGUAGAUACCGGGAGGAACACCCGAGGCGAAAGCGACUUUCUGGGCUGCACCUGACGCUGAGGCGCGAAAGCAUGGGGAGCGAACCGGAUUAGAUACCCGGGUAGUCCAUGCCCUAAACGAUGGAUACUAGGUAUGGGGGGUAUCGACCCCCUCCGUGUCGAAGCUUACGCGAUAAGUAUCCCGCCUGGGGAGUACGGCCGCAAGGCUAAAACUCAAAGGAAUUGACGGGGGCCCGCACAAGCAGCGGAGCGUGUGGUUUAAUUCGAUGAUAAGCGAAAAACCUUACCAGGGCUUGACAUGCUUCUGUAAUCCACCGAAAGGUGGACCUCCUUCGGGACAGUUGCACAGAUGUUGCAUGGCUGUCGUCAGCUCGUGCCGUGAGGUGUUGGGUUAAGUCCCGCAACGAGCGCAACCCUUGUCGUUAGUUGCUUUUUCUAGCGAGACUGCCCCUAAAGAGGGGGAGGAAGGUGGGGAUGACGUCAAGUCAGCACGGCUCUUACGUCCUGGGCUACACACACGCUACAAUGGCCGAUACAGAAGGUUGCUAAGGAGCGAUCCGGAGCUAAUCCCAAAAAAUCGGUCUCAGUUGGGAUUGCAGGCUGAAACCCGCCUGCAUGAACGUGGAGUUGCUAGUAACCGCAGGUCAGCACACUGCGGUGAAUACGUUCUCGGGCCUUGUACACACCGCCCGUCACGUCAUGGAAGUCGGCAACACUUGAAGCCGCCGAGCCAACCCGUUUACGCGGGAGGCAGGCGUCGAGGGUGGGGUUGGUAACUGGGACGAAGUCGUAACAAGGUAGCUGUACCGGAAGGUGCGGCUGGAUCACCUCCUUUCU
rnacentral:rRNA from 1 species